AUGAGCACGGCAGCCAGAGGUGGUUUCCAAUACUUCGUGACUUUCACCGACGACUUGAGUAGAUAUGGAUAUGUCUACUUGAUGAGGCACAAGUUAGAAACUUUUGAAAAGUUCAAGGAGUUUCAGAACGAAGUGGAAAAUCAACUCAGCAAGAAAAUCAAACUUCUACGAUCUGAUCGUGGCGAUGAGUAUAUGAGCCAGGAGUUUGAUGAUCUUCUGAAGAAUCGUGGAAUAGUUCCACAACUAACUCCUCCGGGUACGCCACAGAGAAAUGGUGUGUCAGAACGGAGGAAUCGUACCCUGUUGGACAUGGUCCGAUCGAUGAUGAGUCAGUCGGAUUUACCCUUGUCAUUUUGGGGAUACACUCUAGAAACUGCAGCUUUCACACUAAACAGGGUACCAUCUAAGUCCGUAGAUAAGACACCAUAUGAGAUAUGGACUGCGAAGAGUCACAGUUUGUCUUUUCUGAAAAUUUGGGGAUGUGAAGCAUAUGUCAAGCGACUCCAGUCGGAUAAGCUCACACCCAAAUCGGACAAGUGCAUAUUCGUGGGAUAUCCAAGGGACACCUUGGGAUAUUACUUCUACAACCGUGAAGAGGGCAAAGUGUUUGUCGCUCGACAUGGAGUUUUCCUUGAGAAAGAGUUUCUCAAUCGGAAGGCUAGUGGGAGGACGGUCCGACUAGAAGAAAUUCGAGAACCACACGGGGAUGUUCCGGUAGGUGAUACUGUCACACCGGAGUUAGUCAGGGAACCCGUAGUGGAGUCGACACCGGUUCCACGGAGGUCGGAAAGGUUA
rnacentral:rRNA from 1 species